rnacentral:misc_RNA from 1 species
GGGGUUAUGUCUCCCACAAUGGCUGUUCAAAGCAAUUAGUUCCAUAAAAAAGCACCAAAAAGAAAAACCUCAAAUUUGCAAUAAACAACAAAACAACAACGUACGCGGUACACAUGUAGGAGUAACUAUUAAAUAUUAAAAAAAAAAAUCCUUUUAGCAAGUCUCCAAGGCAUAUGAAGUAGGAUAUUGUAAAUAUUCAAAUAAACAAAUUUGCAUGAAUUGUGGAUGGGUUGCUAACAAUACUACACAAAUGGAUUAAAAUUUACAUACAAAGAUAAUAUAGUAAAACAAA